rnacentral:rRNA from 1 species
GAUGAACGCUAGCUACAGGCUUAACACAUGCAAGUCGAGGGACCGGCGCACGGGUGAGUAACACGUAUCCAACCUGCCCUUUACUCGGGGAUAGCCUUUCGAAAGAAAGAUUAAUACCCGAUAUAAAGGAUGGGGAUGCGUUCCAUUAGGUUGUUGGUGAGGUAACGGCUCACCAAGCCUUCGAUGGAUAGGGGUUCUGAGAGGAAGGUCCCAGACAUUGGAACUGAGACACGGUCCAAACUGGUACGAGACGCAGCAGUGAGUAAGAUAGGUGAAUGGGCGCUAGCCUGAACCAGCCAAGUAGCGGGAAGGAGUAAGGGUUAUGGGGCGUCAACUUCUUGGAUAUAAGAAUAUGUAAUAUAUGAAUAAGGAGCGGCUAACUCCGUGCCAGCAGCCGCGGUAAUGC